GCCACUCAAGAAUCCUCAUUAUUUUAGAAAUAUUCAGUAUAUCAAAAACUUAAUAUAGCCUGGGAAACAUAGCAAAAUCCCAUUUCCACACACACAAUUUUUUUUAUUAGCCAUGCAUCAUGGUGGACAGAUGGACAUGGUCACAUCACUGCACUUCAGCCUGGGUGACAGAGCGAGAUCCUGCCUCAAAACAAACAAACAAACAACCCCCCCCAAAAAAACAAACAAAAAAAUUUGAAUAAAAAUUAUUAUUAUUAUUAUUUUUUUUUUUUUGAAACGGAGUUUCGCUCUUGUUACCCAGGCUGGAGUGCAAUGGCGCAAUCUCGGCUCACCACAACCUCCGCCUCCUGGGUUCAGGCAAUUCUCCUGCCUCAGCCUCCCGAGUAGCUGGGAUUACAGGACUACCACAACUGGAUGAUAAGGAAGGAAGAAACACAGUUCACAGACGAAUGAGAUCAAUAGGUUGGCAUGAGUGGAAAAUGGGUUACUUCUGCAAAAAGGCCCAGCACGUAAGUAUCUCUAGAAGAAAGAAGUAAAGGGAAAAUUCUAUAGAGGGCAGAGAUUGGAAAUCAACACACUGUAAUCUACUUGGUGUAGAAGGGGAAAUGGCUUGCAGCAAACAUAUGCACAGCUUUGGUCAGUGGUAAAUUGCUCUGCCUGGUGGAAUCAGAUAUAAGAAAGCAAGGUUGGAAAAGUAGAGACAAAGAAGAUAGGGCAAGAGGCAUACGACUGGACCCAUGGGAGUUGACACUGAUGUGUGGAUAUUUGGUUUUCCCAUUUGUUCCACCCUAGUGGAGCAACAUCCACCCCGGUGGAGCAACUGAACAACCACACGGCUAGAAUGACUUGGGUUGGGUGUGUCAUCCAGCCUCUGUCUUUAGCCAGCUCUGUGCUUGGGUCUUGUACACAUGAAUGGAGUAACCCUGGGAAGGAUAGGAAGCUAUGGAUUGUA
rnacentral:lncRNA from 1 species